GAACCGUCCAAACGUUAUUCGGAAUCAUUGGGCUUAAAGGGUGCGUAGGCGGUGUGGUCAGUUGGGUGUGAAAUCCCUCGGCUCAACCGAGGAACUGCGCCCAAUACUGCCAUACUCGAGGGAGACAGAGGUAAGCGGAACUGAUGGUGGAGCGGUGAAAUGCGUUGAUAUCAUCAGGAACACCAGUGGCGAAGGCGGCUUACUGGGUCUCUUCUGACGCUGAGGCACGAAAGCUAGGGGGGAGCGAACGGGAUUAGAUACCCCGGUAGUCCUAGCUGUAAACGAUGAGCACUUGAUCGGAGACUCCCUCCAUAGGUUUCCGGUCGUAGCGAAAGUGUUAAGUGCUCCGCCUGGGAGUAUGGUCGCAAGGCUG
rnacentral:rRNA from 1 species